CUGGAAUAUUUGAGGAUGGGGUGGCAAAAACUGGAAACAGAGAUUUUUAACAGAAAGUCAGAGAUGUCAAAGAUUACCUUCCUUUUAAUUCAGGUAAACUGACAACUAUCCUGUAAGGUCGUGUAAGGGUAUGGCCUCCACUCACCCACUCCCAGCCCAUUUUUGUGCCAGUCUUGCCAUGGUCUUCUGGGUAAUCCUGAAACUAGAAGUCUCUUCCUCAAUCAGCCAAGAAGAAGCCUAUUGAGAGCCACAGGAGGAUAACUGCAGGAUCAGUCAAUCAGCAAGUCUGGGGGACUUUGGGGACAGAAUUUAGAAGAUCUCCUUUCUCUUCAUUACUUGUCUUCUGUGUACAAUGCUUUAUUACCUUCACAUAAGCAAAGGGCUUGGUGGAGAGCAGAGAGCAAAUAGAUAAUAUAAGAAUCUCACCCCCAAA
rnacentral:lncRNA from 1 species